rnacentral:rRNA from 1 species
CACGUAGGGGGCGAGCGUUAUCCGGAUUCAUUGGGCGUAAAGCGCGCGCAGGCGGCCGUGCAGUUCGGGACCCGGCCCGGGGUUGAGCCCCGGGGUUAGAGGUCCCGCUUGCACGGCUCGCUGCAGGUAGGGGCAGGCGGAAUUCCCGGUGUAGCGGUGGAAUGCGCAGAUAUCGGGAAGAACACCGACGGCGAAGGCAGCCUGCUGGGCCUGUGAGGACGCUGAGGCGCGAAAGCCGGGGGAGCGAACA